rnacentral:rRNA from 1 species
UACGAAGGGUGCAAGCGUUAUUCGGAAUUACUGGGCGUAAAGGGUGCGUAGGCGGUUCGUUAAGUCUGUCGUGAAAUCCCCGGGCUCAACCUGGGAAUGGCGAUGGAUACUGGCGAGCUAGAGUGUGUCAGAGGAUGGUGGAAUUCCCGGUGUAGCGGUGAAAUGCGUAGAGAUCGGGAGGAACAUCAGUGGCGAAGGCGGCCAUCUGGGACAACACUGACGCUGAGGAGCGAAAGCGUGGGGAGCAAACAGG